rnacentral:rRNA from 1 species
GACGUAGGGCGCGAGCGUUGUCCGGAUUUAUUGGGCGUAAAGAGCUCGUAGGCGGCUUGUCGCGUCGACUGUGAAAUCCCGCGGCUCAACUGCGGGUCUGCAGUCGAUACGGGCAGGCUAGAGUUCGGUAGGGGAGACUGGAAUUCCUGGUGUAGCGGUGAAAUGCGCAGAUAUCAGGAGGAACACCGGUGGCGAAGGCGGCUUCCUGGACCGACACUGACGCUGGAGGCGCGAAAGCGUGGGGAGCAAACAGG